UAUUAGUUGUAGUACUUUGUACUCUAUAGUACUCUGUAUGGAUUAGUAUAUUCUUUCACAGUAGGAAGGAUUGUGAAAACGAAAUGGAUGAAAGUGUGGCGCAGGGCUUUAAUCAAUGGAAUGUUGGGAACAAGAAACCGCGUCGAGAGCCCAAAUCCUCAUUAAAUUGGAACCGCCAGAUUAUUAGACCUAGUACGAGUACGAGUAGUACUAAAAUAUAAUAUAUAAUCUUCCCGCCAAAGCCAAGCAUCCUUUGGCGGUAAAGAGACCAACCUUCCGUUUCCCUUAUGGACGCCUUGUACAAUACUCACGUUAAGCUCUUGGCCUUCGACUUCCUGAAACUGACGCCGUCACCGACAGACCCCUCUUCCUUCUUCCGCAGAGGCAAGCGCCUCUCGCGCGCGGAGACUGUAGGAAUCGUGGUAACCCGAGAUCUCAAGCCGGGAAAGUUCGUCAAAUUCACGAUUGACGACGGCUCCGGCUGCAUCUCCUGUGUUCUGUGGCUCAAUCAGCUCAACUCCUCUUACUUCUCUCGCCGCAACCCAUCGGAUGUUCGACUAAUUGCCCAAGCGGCCACUGAUUUUGCCUCUGAUCUCCAACUCGGCGUUCUAGCUCGAGUCCGCGGCAGGAUCACAGAUUACAGAGGUGCUCUUCAGAUUUCAGUGUCUGAUGUUGUCGUGGAGAGGGACCCCAACAUGCAGAUUCUGCAUUGGCUAGAUUGUAUGAGGUUGGCGCGCCAGUGCUACGACUAAUAUUGCAACUUAUUUACUUUUAUUAACUCUGCUAUGCAGAUGUAUUUAAUUCAGGGGAGACAAAUGGAUUAUGAGUCGGACACCAUUUGGAAGUCUGGCCAUGCUGUUAGCUCGUAUUUUGGAUAGUGACUGUUCAGCAUCAUGUGCAAGAAUUUGCGGAGUUGAGAGGUAGAGGCGGAGACAUGUGGAUUUGGACCACCAAGUGAAUGUGGAUUUCCAAAACUUUUUAGAUUACCCUGAUUGGUUUCCAGAAUGGACUGAUCAGAAAAUUGAAGGCCUUGGAUUCUUGAAGUUGUGGAGUAGACGUUUGAGUUCAAUAUGUAGAUUAGCAAGACAAAAGUAAUUGUUUACUUGAUUCACCAAAUCAUUGCUCUAGUGAUCCCUAAUGACCAUGCUGAACCAGCAGGAGAAUAGACAGUCAUGUUGGGAGUUUUCUUCCAAACCAGUUUUAUCAUUUAUGGAGCUGCUGGACUCAUCUGGUACCAAACAAGCACUCCAUCUGAAACAAGAGUUAAGAUUAAUUGGUGCUUGAAUUUAUAAUGAUUGCAGUAGCUUAAGCGUCUGUAGGUGGUUCAGAGCAGGCUACUAUUUAGUGUUUAUCUCAAGUCUGAUUAUGUUUC